rnacentral:rRNA from 1 species
AUUGAACGCUGGCGGCAUGCCUUACACAUGCAAGUCGAACGGCAGCACGGACUUCGGUCUGGUGGCGAGUGGCGAACGGGUGAGUAAUAUAUCGGAACAUACCUUGUAGUGGGGGAUAACUAUCCGAAAGGAUAGCUAAUACCGCAUACGCUCUACGGAGGAAAGUGGGGGAUCGCAAGACCUCAUGCUAUAAGAGUGGCCGAUAUCUGAUUAGCUAGUUGGUGAGGUAAAGGCUCACCAAGGCGACGAUCAGUAGCUGGUCUGAGAGGACGACCAGCCACACUGGAACUGAGACACGGUCCAGACUCCUACGGGAGGCAGCAGUGGGGGAAUUUUGGACAAUGGGGGCAACCCUGAUCCAGCAAUGCCGCGUGAGUGAAGAAGGCCUUCGGUGUAAGCUCUUUGUCUAGGGAGAAACGGUUAGUGGCUAAUAUCCAUGGCUAAUGACGGUACCUGAAGAAUAAGCACCGGCUAACUACGUGCCAGCAGCCGACGG